UACGAAGGGGGCUAGCGUUGCUCGGAAUCACUGGGCGUAAAGCGCACGUAGGCGGAUCUUUAAGUCAGGGGUGAAAUCCUGGAGCUCAACUCCAGAACUGCCUUUGAUACUGGGGAUCUCGAGUCCGGGAGAGGUGAGUGGAACUCCGAGUGUAGAGGUGAAAUUCGUAGAUAUUCGGAAGAACACCAGUGGCGAAGGCGGCCAUCUGGACCGCAACUGACGCUGAGGCGCGAAAGCGUGGGGAGCAAACAGG
rnacentral:rRNA from 1 species